rnacentral:rRNA from 1 species
AGUGAACGCUGGCGGUAGGCCUAACACAUGCAAGUCGAACGGCAGCACAGUAAGAGCUUGCUCUUACGGGUGGCGAGUGGCGGACGGGUGAGGAAUACAUCGGAAUCUACUUUUUCGUGGGGGAUAACGUAGGGAAACUUACGCUAAUACCGCAUACGACCUACGGGUGAAAGCAGGGGAUCUUCGGACCUUGCGCGAUUGAAUGAGCCGAUGUCGGAUUAGCUAGUUGGCGGGGUAAAGGCCCACCAAGGCGACGAUCCGUAGCUGGUCUGAGAGGAUGAUCAGCCACACUGGAACUGAGACACGGUCCAGACUCCUACGGGAGGCAGCAGUGGGGAAUAUUGGCCAUUGGGCGCAACCCUGAUCCAGCCAUCCCGCGUGGGUGAAGAAGGCUUUCGGGUUGUAAAGCCCUUUUGUUGGGAAAGAAAAGCAGCAGGUUAAUACCCCGCUGUUCUGACGGUACCCAAAGAAUAAGCACCGGCUAACUUCGUG